AAGGAAUUAAAAGCAGUUGUUGGCAAAAGCAGACUUUACAUCGUGCCACGAGCCACGGUCUUGCAGGUAACAUCACCACCCUCUGCCAUGUUCAAGAAUUCAUUCCCACCACUCGCAGCUCCAGCAGUAGAUGAGCCCUCACAAGUUGGUUUCAGAUCAGGUGGCAUCCACAUCCUCUGCCAUAUCCAUAAAUUCAUUCCCACCGCUCUCAAUUGCUCCAGUACAAGAUGAGACUGCGCCUGUGGCUGAGAGUACCCAAGCUCAAAGUGUGUUUG